CUGAUCAGCCAUGCCGCGUGCAGGAUGACGGCCCUAUGGGUUGUAAACUGCUUUUAUACGGGAAGAAAUGCGCCCACGUGUGGGCGUCUGACGGUACCGUAAGAAUAAGGACCGGCUAACUCCGUGCCAGCAGCCGCGGUAAUACGGAGGGUCCGAGCGUUAUCCGGAAUCAUUGGGUUUAAAGGGUCCGUAGGCGGGCCUGUAAGUCAGGGGUGAAAGUUUGUGGCUCAACCAUAAAAUUGCCUUUGAUACUGCAGGUCUUGAGUCAUGGUGGGGUCGCCGGAACAUGUGGUGUAGCGGUGAAAUGCAUAGAUAUCACAUAGAACACCGAUCGCGAAGGCAGGUGGCCAACCAUGUACUGACGCUGAUGGACGAAAGCGUGGGUAGCGAACGGGAUUAGAUACCCCGGUAGUCCACGCCGUAAACGAUGGAUACUAGCUGUGGGGACUUCGGUCUCCGUGGCCAAGCGAAAGUGAUAAGUAUCCCACCUGGGGAGUACGUUCGCAAGAAUGAAACUCAAAUG
rnacentral:rRNA from 1 species